GCCAAUACUAGCCCUAAGCAUAACCAACACUAAUACCAAACCAACAUACACUAAACCAUUCACCUACACAAAGUAUAGGCGAUAGAAAUUUUGAUCUGGCGCUAUAGACGCAGUACCGUAAGGGAAAGAUAAAAACCAUCCAAGCACAAAACAGCAAGGACUAACUCCUGUACCUUUCGCAUAAUGAAUUAGCUAGAAACAAUUUCACAAAGAGGACUACAAGCCAAAUUCCCCGAAACCAGACGAGCUACCCAAAAACAGCUAAAAGAGCGCACCCGUCUAUGUGGCAAAAUAGUGGGAAGAUUUCUGGGUAGAGGUGACAAGCCUACCGAGCCUGGUGAUAGCUGGUUAUCCAAGACAGAAUCUUAGUUCAACCUUAAGCUUACCUAUAGAACCACCUAAUCUCCCUGUAAGCUUAAUUGCUAGUCUAAAGAGGGACAGCUCUUUAGACACUAGGAAAAAACCUUGUAGAGAGAGUAAAACCCCCAAUUACCAUAGUUGGCUUAAAAGCAGCCAUCAAUUAAGAAAGCGUUCAAGCUCAACACUAACCAUCCCAAAAAUACCAAACACAUAACUGAACUCCUCACACCACAUUGGAUUAAUCUAUCACCAUAUAGAAGCAAUAAUGCUAGUAUAAGUAACAUGAAUAUUUUCUCCACUGCAUAAGCCCAAAUCGGAUCGAAAACCUCACCGAUACCUAACAGCCAGGCAUAGCAAGCACAAACAAGCCCAUGCUACCUUCACUGUUAACCCAACACAGGCAUGCCUCAGGGAAAGGUUAAAAAAAGUAAAAGGAACUCGGCAAACUUAAAUCCCGCCUGUUUACCAAAAACAUCACCUCUAGCAUUACUAGUAUUAGAGGCACUGCCUGCCCAGUGACACACGUUUAACGGCCGCGGUACCCUGAC
rnacentral:rRNA from 1 species